AAGGAUCAUUACCUGAGGCCACGGGCCGUUCUUGGGGGGUAACCUCUGGGAGCGCUUAGCCCCUGACUAUCACCUUGACUAUGUGCACCUUUGUUGUUCCCUCGGCAGUUCGCUGCCGCCAGGGACCACGAAACCCCUUGCAUCAGCAUCAAACCUCUGAAAACAAAACCUAAUUAUUUACAACUUUCAACAAUGGAUCUCUUGGUUCUG
rnacentral:misc_RNA from 1 species